AGAAUCAACGCUGGCGGCGUGCCUAACACAUGCAAGUCGCACGAGAAAGGGUAGCAAUACCUGAGUACAGUGGCGCACGGGUGAGUAACACGUGAAUAAUCUACCUCCGAGUGGGGAAUAACUGAGAGAAAUCUUAGCUAAUACCGCAUAACACUUAUGAGUCAAAGCAGCAAUGCGCUUGGAGAGGAGUUCGCGGCAGAUUAGUUAGUUGGCGGGGUAAUGGCCCACCAAGACGAUGAUCUGU
rnacentral:rRNA from 1 species